rnacentral:sRNA from 1 species
CAUCCAUAUCGCCAUUGCCGGUGAUUGCAAAGAGUCGCAGGUUCGAAUCCUGCACGACCCACCAAUUUCAGCAUUUAACUCAGAUGCUGAACGUGAAGGAUAACGUUGCGACAGCAACGGCCCGAAGGGCGAGGCGAAGUCGAGUCAUCCUGCACGACCCACCA